GGAGUUCGAUGCUUUGUGGCGGCAGAUUGGUGGGCAUUUUCUUCAUUCUUGACCUAGGACGAAGCAUCUACAAAAGUGUCGCUAUCGACUAUUAGUUUUGUGAGUUGGCUACCUCAUUAAAAAACAGAUGCCACCACAGGUUUGAGGGUCACAGGGUCUAGAACUUUCGACAAAGGCCCUGCUAGUUUGCUUACCACAUGGUCGCAAUUCUUCCCUGCAUUUGAAGCUUCCACGGCAGACGCGUUCGUACUUGAAUAAGCCAGUUUGUUCCUUCGCGUCCAAUGAGUGUACAACAGCAUUCGGCGGACAUGCUCUAGGAUGCCUCCGCUUUGUGCCUGCGCCUCCCUCCAGCGUUACCGUUCGUUUCGAACAAAAACGGCUCUUCUAUUCAAAGCGGCGCCUGAGACUUGCAGCGUUCUCCAUCUUUGCAAGGAAGAAAUUUUUUUCGCCAGCUCACUCCGCAUGUCGACCAAGUUACACCAACCUCCGGAGCUCGAUUUCAGCACGGGGCUAGUGAUUUCCGUAGCAGACAUUGUGUUGCUAGUUAAUAAUCUUGCCCAAAGUGCUUAGGCAGUUGUGAAAUUACCCCUGUUUCCUAAUUACCGGAAUGUGUCUACAACACAACCUUGCAGCCUCCUCAGCCGUGUCUCUGAAUCCUGGUUCCGGUAUCAGCUGUCUUCGUGCGUCCAAGUCUCUCAAAGUAUUCAGGCUCAGAGUGAACGUCUCUGUUCAACACUGGGGGCGUACAAUUGUAUUUGCUGCCGUCUGGUUGGUGCUGUCCUCCCUCGCUUUUGACUACACAGCUUCGAGCCCGUCUCUUCCAAUAUUAGGCCAUCACUUCCCAUGUUAUGCCAGGGUCUGCAUACAGCAGCUCCUCCAGAUUGCUGAUGUCUCAUUUUUAACGACUCCACUUUUAAUGACGUUCGACUUGCACUGUUCUUUAUGAUAAUAAACAACUGUAACUAGCUCUACAUGCACCGGCUUAGAAACGCCACACGGGGAACCAGGAGCCACUGAAUCCCGAGUGGCUGCAUAAUGUCAGGCACUCUGCAGCUGCAAGAAUUCUCCUAUUUGCCUGUUCAAGCUGCCAAACCGUGGCCUCGAACCGUCAACGGUAACUGAGGAAAGCCUUAUCAACAGUAACUGGAUAGAAUCGUCGCAACAAAUCUUUUUCAACGUAUGUUCGCAUCGGAGUGCAGCCGU
rnacentral:lncRNA from 1 species